UACGGGAGGCAGCAGUGGGGAAUAUUGGACAAUGGGCGCAAGCCUGAUCCAGCCAUGCCGCGUGUGUGAAGAAGGCCUUCGGGUUGUAAAGCACUUUCAGUGGGGAGGAAAGGUUGGUGGUUAAUACCCAUCAGCUGUGACGUUACCCACAGAAGAAGCACCGGCUAACUCCGUGCCAGCAGCCGCGGUAAUACGGAGGGUGCGAGCGUUAAUCGGAAUUACUGGGCGUAAAGCGCACGCAGGCGGAUUGUUAAGCUAGAUGUGAAAGCCCCGGGCUCAACCUGGGAAUUGCAUUUAGAACUGGCAGUCUAGAGUCUUGGAGAGGGGGGUGGAAUUCCAGGUGUAGCGGUGAAAUGCGUAGAGAUCUGGAGGAACAUCAGUGGCGAAGGCGGCCCCCUGGCCAAAGACUGACGCUCAUGUGCGAAAGCGUGGGUAGCGAACAGGAUUAGAUACCCUGGUAGUCCACGCCGUAAAC
rnacentral:rRNA from 1 species